rnacentral:rRNA from 1 species
CCGGUGGCGGAUGGGCAUGCGGCGCAUUAGCUAGACGGCGGGGUGACGGCCCACCGUGGCGACGAUGCGUAGGGGUUCUGAGAGGAAGGCCCCCCACACUGGGACUGAGACACGGCCCAGACUCCUACGGGAGGCAGCAGUGAGGAAUAUUGGUCAAUGGGCGGAAGCCUGAACCAGCCAAGUCGCGUGAGGGAUUAAGGCCCUGCGGGUCGUAAACCUCUUUUGCCGGGGAGCAGUGGUCCGGACGCGUCCGGGCCGGGAGAGUACCCGGAGAAAAAGCAUCGGCUAACUCCGUGCCAGCAGCCGCGGUAAUACGGAGGAUGCGAGCGUUAUCCGGAUUUAUUGGGUUUAAAGGGUGCGUAGGCGGGCAUUUAAGCCGGCGGUCAAAUGUCGGGGCUCAACCCCGGCCUGCCGUCGAAACUGGGUGCCUUGAGUGGGCGAGAAGUAUGCGGAAUGCGUGGUGUAGCGGUGAAAUGCAUAGAUAUCACGCAGAACCCCGAUUGCGAAGGCAGCAUACCGGCGCCCUACUGACGCUGAGGCACGAAAGCGCGGGUAUCGAACAGGAUUAGAUACCCUGGUAGUCCGCACAGUAAACGAUGGAUGCUAUCUGUCCGGGCCGAAUGAGGCCUGG